rnacentral:rRNA from 1 species
UACGUAGGGGGCUAGCGUUGUCCGGAAUCAUUGGGCGUAAAGCGCGUGUAGGCGGCCUUGUAAGUCCGUUCUGAAAGCCCGGGGCUCAACCCCGGGAGGCGGAUGGAUACUGCAAGGCUCGAGUCCGGAAGAGGCGAGUGGAAUUCCCGGUGUAGCGGUGAAAUGCGCAGAUAUCGGGAGGAAUACCAGCGGCGAAGGCGGCGCUCUGGGCCGGUACUGACGCUGAGGAGCGAAAGCGUGGGGAUCAAACAGG